rnacentral:rRNA from 1 species
CCUACGGGUGGCAGCAGUGGGGGAUAUUGCACAAUGGGGGAAACCCUGAUGCAGCGACGCCGCGUGUGGGAAGACGGUCCUCUGGAUUGUAAACCACUGUCCCCAGGGACGAAGAUGACGGUACCUGGGGAGGAAGCUCCGGCUAACUACGUGCCAGCAGCCGCGGUACUACGUAGGGAGCGAGCGUUGUCCGGAAUUACUGGGUGUAAAGGGAGCGUAGGCGGGACUGCAAGUUGGGUGUCAAAUCUACCGGCUCAACCGGUAGCCGCACUCAAAACUGCAGUUCUUGAGUGAAGUAGAGGCAGGCGGAAUGCCUAGUGUAGCGGUGAAAUGCGUAGAUAUUAGGAGGAACACCAGUGGCGAAGGCGGCCUGCUGGGCUUUUACUGACGCUGAGGCUCGAAAGUGUGGGGAGCAAACAGGAUUAGAUACCCGAGUAGUC